CAGAGGUUACUGCUAYCGGRGAGUUCGACUAAGCCAUGCGAGUUGAAUGUUCUUCGUGAACAUGGCGGACUGCUCAGUAACACGUGGACAACCUACCCUUGGGUCCGGCAUAAUCCUGGGAAACUGGGAAUAAUUCCGGAUAGGUCACCGAUGCUGGAAUGCGCGGUGGCCGAAAGCUCCGGCGCCCGAGGAUGGGUCUGCGGCCUAUCAGGGUUGUAGUGGGUGUAACGUACCUACUAGCCUACGACGGGUACGGGUUGUGAGAGCAAGAGCCCGGAGAUGGAUUCUGAGACACGAAUCCAGGCCCUACGGGGUGCAGCAGGCGCGAAAACUUUACAAUGCGGGAAACCGUGAUAAGGGGAUCUCGAGUGCCAGCAUAUAAUGUUGGCUGUCCAGAUGCCUAAAAAGCAUCUGUUAGCAAGGGCCGGGCAAGACCGGUGCCAGCCGCCGCGGUAACACCGGCGGCCCGAGUGGUAACCGCUAUUAUUGGGUCUAAAGGGUCUGUAGCCGGCCAGGUAAGUCCCUUGGGAAAUCUGGCAGCUCAACUGUCAGGCUGCUAGGGGAUACUGUUUGGCUUGGGACCGGGAGAGGUGAGAGGUACCUUGGGGGUAGGGGUGAAAUCUUGUGAUCCUCGAGGGACCACCAGUGGCGAAGGCGUCUCACCAGAACGGGUCCGACGGUAAGGGACGAAAGCUAGGGGCACGAACCGGAUUAGAUACCCGGGUAGUCCUAGCCGUAAACGAUGCUCGCUAGGUGUCAGUCACGGUGCGACCGUGAUUGGUGCCGUAGGGAAGCCGUGAAGCGAGCCACCUGGGAAGUAUGGCCGCAAGGCUGAAACUUAAAGGAAUUGGCGGGGGAGCACUACAWSSSGYGSAGCCUGCGGUUUAGUG
rnacentral:rRNA from 1 species